rnacentral:rRNA from 1 species
GAUGAACGCUGGCGGCGUGCCUAAUACAUGCAAGUCGAGCGAACAGACGAGGAGCUUGCUCCUCUGACGUUAGCGGCGGACGGGUGAGUAACACGUGGAUAACCUACCUAUAAGACUGGGAUAACUUCGGGAAACCGGAGCUAAUACCGGAUAAUAUAUUGAACCGCAUGGUUCAAUAGUGAAAGACGGUUUUGCUGUCACUUAUAGAUGGAUCCGCGCCGCAUUAGCUAGUUGGUAAGGUAACGGCUUACCAAGGCGACGAUUCGUAGCCGACCUGAGAGGGUGAUCGGCCACACGGGAACUGAGACACGGUCCAGACUCCUACGGGAGGCAGCAGUAGGGAAUCUUCCGCAAUGGGCGAAAGCCUGACGGAGCAACGCCGCGUGAGUGAUGAAGGUCUUCGGAUCGUAAAACUCUGUUAUUAGGGAAGAACAAAUGUGUAAGUAACUAUGCACGUCUUGACGGUACCUAAUCAGAAAGCCACGGCUAACUACGUG